rnacentral:rRNA from 1 species
CCUACGGGAGGCAGCAGUGAGGAAUAUUGGUCAAUGGACGAGAGUCUGAACCAGCCAAGCAGCGUGCAGGAUGACUGCCCUAUGGGUUGUAAACUUCUUUUAUAUGGGAAUAAAAUGUUCCACGUGUGGGAUUUUGUAUGUACCAUAUGAAUAAGGAUCGGCUAACUCCGUGCCAGCAGCCGCGGUAAUACGGAGGAUCCGAGCGUUAUCCGGAUUUAUUGGGUUUAAAGGGAGCGUAGGUGGAUUGUUAAGUCAGUUGUGAAAGUUUGCGGCUCAACCGUAAAAUUGCAGUUGAAACUGGCAGGCUUGAGAACAGUAGAGGUAGGCGGAAUUCGUGGUGUAGCGGUGAAAUGCUUAGAGAUCACGAAGAACUCCGAUUGCGAAGGCAGCUCACUGGACUGCAACUGACACUGAGGCUCGAAAGUGUGGGUAUCAAACAGGAUUAGAUACCCCAGUAGUC